UGGGGAAUUUUGCACAAUGGGCGCAAGCCUGAUGCAGCGACGCCGCGUGAGGGAUGAAGGCCUUCGGGUUGUAAACCUUUUUCGCUCAUGGUCAAGCCGCAGCUUUGGGUUGUGGUGAGGGUAGUGGGUAAAGAAGCGCCGGCUAACUACGUGCCAGCAGCCGCGGUAAUACGUAGGGCGCGAGCGUUGUCCGGAAUUAUUGGGCGUAAAGGGCUUGUAGGCGGUUGGCCGCGUCUGCCGUGAAAUCCUCUGGCUUAACUGGGGGCGUGCGGUGGGUACGGGUUGACUUGAGUGCGGUAGGGGAGACUGGAAUUCCUGGUGUAGCGGUGGAAUGCGCAGAUAUCAGGAGGAUCACCGGUGGCGAAGGCGGGUCUCUGGGCCGUUACUGACGCUGAGGAGCGAAAGCGUGGGGAGCGAACAGG
rnacentral:rRNA from 1 species